rnacentral:rRNA from 1 species
CAAGUCGAACGCGAAAAGGGGGCAACCCCUGAGUAGAGUGGCGAACGGGUGAGUAAUACAUCGGAACGUGUCCAGUAGCGGGGGAUAACCUCUCGAAAGAGAGGCUAAUACCGCAUACGACCUACGGGUGAAAGAGGGGGAUCGCAAGACCUCUCACUAUUGGAGCGGCCGAUGUCGGAUUAGCUAGUUGGUGGGGUAAAAGCCUACCAAGGCGACGAUCCGUAGCUGGUCUGAGAGGACGACCAGCCACACUGGAACUGAGACACGGUCCAGACUCCUACGGGAGGCAGCAGUGGGGAAUUUUGGGCAAUGGGCGCAAGCCUGAUCCAGCCAUGCCGCGUGAGUGAAGAAGGCCUUCGGGUUGUAAAGCUCUUUCGGCGGGGACGAAAAGGUGCGUGAUAACACCGCGCAUCCAUGACGGUACCCGCAGAAGAAGCACCGGCUAACUACGUGCCAGCAGCCGCGGUAAUACGUAGGGUGCAGGCGUUAAUCGGAAUUACUGGGCGUAAAGCGUGCGCAGGCGGUUUGCUAAGACAGGUGUGAAAUCCCCGGGCUUAACCUGGGAACUGCGCUUGUUACUGGCAGGCUUGAGUGUGGCAGAGGGGGGUGGAAUUCCACGUGUAGCAGUGAAAUGCGUAGAGAUGUGGAGGAACACCGAUGGCGAAGGCAGCCCCCUGGGCUAACACUGACGCUCAUGCACGAAAGCGUGGGGAGCAAACAGGAUUAGAUACCCUGGGU